rnacentral:rRNA from 1 species
UAUGACGUUAGCGGCGGACGGGUGAGUAACACGUGGGCAACCUGCCUGUAAGACUGGGAUAACUUCGGGAAACCGAAGCUAAUACCGGAUAGGAUCUUCUCCUUCAUGGGAGAUGAUUGAAAGAUGGUUUCGGCUAUCACUUACAGAUGGGCCCGCGGUGCAUUAGCUAGUUGGUGAGGUAACGGCUCACCAAGGCAACGAUGCAUAGCCGACCUGAGAGGGUGAUCGGCCACACUGGGACUGAGACACGGCCCAGACUCCUACGGGAGGCAGCAGUAGGGAAUCUUCCGCAAUGGACGAAAGUCUGACGGAGCAACGCCGCGUGAGUGAUGAAGGCUUUCGGGUCGUAAAACUCUGUUGUUAGGGAAGAACAAGUACAAGAGUAACUGCUUGUACCUUGACGGUACCUAACCAGAAAGCCACGGCUAACUACGUGCCAGCAGCCGCGGUAAUACGUAGGUGGCAAGCGUUAUCCGGAAUUAUUGGGCGUAAAGCGCGCGCAGGCGGUUUCUUAAGUCUGAUGUGAAAGCCCACGGCUCAACCGUGGAGG